UUUUUUUUUUUUUAAGGAAAAUCUUUUAAUUUUGUAAAUGUACUAAGUUACCUGGGUCCAUAGCUAGGACUUCUAAGUGUUAAAGUAGUAUACAUACUAAAUGAACCAUCAAAAUACAAUGAUUCAUACAACAAAGCACUUUUGUAUGCCAAAUAAAUUUGGAUUUAUCAUAGUCAUUCUGGUACCUCCUUUAUUUAGAGUCAGAGACAGCACACAUCUUUGUUUCAUGCCUGUUGUGGCUUUUGUCUUAACAAGAAGUGUGGCCAGUGCAAAGAAUUGAUCAAAUUUUCUGCUGAGAUGCUAAAGCCAUUCCCAGUAGAAGACUUGUUUGUUCUGGAAAGAGCUGAAAAACGUAAAGUGGGCUAAAAGGUCUUCUGGCUAUUCUGUUACAAAAAGCAAAAAACACAUAGAGAGAUGCUCCAGGAUUCACCUUUCCAAAACAAAUUCUUUCAGUUAUUUCUGCCCAAUAAUGACAGCUUACAAACAGGAUCAUAAAUAAUUCAAUUUUGUCUGCUUUACAUGCAAAAGAGGCUAUUGUUCUUUCUGUUAAUGACACACAACAGUCUGAUUCAAAAUCAGUGCAUGAUAUUCUGUACCUAUAGUAUUAAUGACUAUAAAUCAAAGCACAUCAAUGGCAUUGCAUAGCUGAUUCAGUUAUUUGGCAAAUUCCUUCAGAUUUUAAACAUGCCUUCCUUUGAAUUCAGAUAAACCCCUAUCAGACUUAUUUUAUUGGAAAUGAAUUUCCUGACACUCAAAGGGCUACAUAUCUAAAAUAAUGACUUAGUGUGGUCUACAAAUUGUGUGAUUGGAAAUGAUAUAUUUUAACUAAUGCAAAAUUUAAAAUGUAAUAAAGAGUGUACUCUAUUUUUCUCAAAAAAUUUAAUUGCAGAAUUAUUUACAGGAGAUGAACAUAAACAAUACAUAAACCAAUUGAAAGAGGCGGCUUCAUAAAAGAGCCAUGGGGCAAAAUAGUGAAGCACAUUUUCUUACAAUCAGCUGGAGGUGAGUAGAGAACCAUGAAAAAGAAUAACUCAAUAAUAAACCAAUUCUCAAAUAUGUCUUCAAAGUAACAAAUAACAUUCUGGUAAAGAAGAUAUUACUGAGAAGCGAGAAAUUAUUGUAGCAAUGAAACAACAUACUGUACAUUCAAUUUAGGUAUCCUGCAUGCUACUAAAUAGAAUUUAUCAAAAGAACCAUAAAAGCAUGAGAAAGAGAAUUACAUAAAAUAGUUUAAUUCUAGUGAAGUGUAGCUUUAUACAGAUGGUGAAUAUUUGGCACUCAGUUCAUCCUCAUUGUUGAUAUGAUUUCUUAUGUAUAUAUAUUUUUAUAUAUAUUUAUAUAUACUUUUAAUGAUAACUAAACAGCUAGUUUCCUGGUUCUAACAUUCCUUGAAAUUCUAUAGGAGGCAUUUAAUUUAGUCCUUAGGCCACACUUGAUUAUUUUGGCAUGUCACAUGGUAAAUGAAAAUAUGAGUUUUGUCUCUGUACAGAAAAUUCUGCACAGUCAUAGUGGCUUUUCUUCAGGAAAGAACAGUUCUAGAGCAGUAUAAGUCAGGCUACUCAAAAGGGAAAUUCUCUUCAUUCAGGAAAUCAAUAUCUAAAUUGAACUAAAGAAUACAUACAUGCUGAGCCCUUUUAAAAUGAGAUGGCCAUACUAUAAAACCUCCAAAGGGUCAAUCAAAGCAUGGAUAUGAGCAUGUGGAUUCCACAAGUAACUACAAACAAAGCUAGUAUUUCUUUGUGAGGACUAUCGUCAGACACUUGAACCUACUACCAAGCCCUCUGCUUGAUUGUGACCUACCUGAAUGGAAGAACUAUAUCCUACAAAAUAAUUACACACUUGCUAAUUCAAACAGUGAGUCCUUUCUACCACAGCAGGACUUGCUGAGUCAGAUAUUAAUAUCAGUUUUACUGAUCCAAAUCUGUCAUUUUUUUCUGAUUUCAUUUUCUUAGCAUUGAUUCUAAUACAACUGACAUCAGAACUUAGCCUGAAGCUCUGCAAUAAUUUAUCUCAUCUCACAAAUAAGAAACCUGUAUGACAGUUCAGCUUUAGGAAUGGGAAAUGGUGUGUUGUAUGAAACAAGAGUAAGGGAAGAAGGAAAAUCCUCACCGAUGGGCUGUGUUGGUGAAUAAUGACCAUAUCUUCAAAUAAACCUCCCCCUCAUUUAAGUUUAGGUGAAAAUAUUCAUGGUUUUGUAGUAGAGAAGUAAAAAAUCCUGUCCAACAGAACCGAUUUAGAAAAAUAAUGAUUUGGCCUUAAUAAAAUAGAGAAUUAAAUUGCCAGCUCAUGAAAACUGUUUUGUGUUUGCUCAGUUAAAGAGCAAGCCGUGCAGACAUACUGAUUUACAUUAUCUACCAUCUGACUUUAAAAGCCCAGUUCUGUUUCAGCAAUGAAAGGCAACGAGAGAAACACCCAUGUGUGGAAAGGUGGGCCUAUGAACAUGGAGUCUUCUUCUGUGAUCCUCAUUUGCAAUAUGCUGUUUGCAUUUAAUGAUAAGGGAUCUGGAAUAUGGUUUUUAGAUAUAAUGAGUGCCAUGGCCUCUUGCAGCCAUUAGAAUUUUAUUUCAUUAAAAGGAGCUGAAUCAGCCUAAAUAUGCUGGCCAAAUUCUCUUUUGGGCAAGUUUUCAUUUCAAUUUCAGUUUUAUACUGUCUGUCCUGAGCAGCCCAUUAUGUAGUUAAAUAGCUGUAGCAUUACACCAUAGAGGUAUCUGCAUUUCAGAGACAAAUUAAGCAAUUUCUGUGUAUACAGAGGGCUUAAUUCCUGCCAGGAGCCUGUGUGCAUGUGAGUAUGCCAUAAAACAGCUGUUUCCAAAAGAUGGUCCCUGGAGGUGAACAUUGCGAACAGUUGCAGAUGGGCUGUGGGGCUGCAUUGGGCAGUGAGCCUGCCAUGCGUAUCAGUGAUGAGGCUGAUCUGCAAGAAAGUGACAUGGUCUACAGGAACGUGAGUGUUGACUGUGGCUCCUGGGUCCUACUGUCUGAGACCAUGACACUGAAAAAUUGUAUAUAUAUCUGUAAGUGUGUAUAUAUCGCCUUUCUGUUAGCUGCAGUAUGAAAUGGCUGCCUCUAGUCUGCUAAUCCUGUCAAUGCAGAGAGGCAUCCCUGUUGCUCUGCCAUACUAAAGAAACCUUAGGGUUAGAGCUGAGUCUCAGUGGAGAGUGGCUUCCCAAAACAAAGCAUAAUCCUUAUGCCUAAGUCCCAUGCCCCACAUUAACCUCCAUGUUAGAUUGUCUGGAGGGCAGACCUGGAGAGACAACAGGGUGCUUGGCAGUUGUGCCACAGGGGAAGGCUGCUUUUGCAGCAGGUGCCCCAGAUGGAUCUCUCUCACUAAGAAAGCUGGGAGGCAAUGAGCUUGCGAAGGAGACACUUGCCAAGAUCCCCUAUGAGAGGGCUCAGCUGCAGGUGCCAUCAGCUCCUACCUCUGGCACCGGCUGGGGCUCUCCUGCGGUGCCCUCCCAGGGGAGCUCCUACACCACAGGGACCCUCACUGCCAUCACCAUGAAUGGAGAAAGCAGAUCUUGUUCUGGAAAUUUAAUUUGAUUCUUUCCAUUCCCUGCCUACACCCUGGAGGGACAGUAUGAGCACUGAGCACUGGCCUCGCCUCUGCUGUGCUCUUGGUUCAGCAAGCCUUUGCUUCUCCUUUAGCACAGGCUCACACUGUAAGGGUCCUCCCGAGCUCUGAGAGGGUGGUGUGGAAGGAAACUUUCCAGCAGGAUGGGACAGGUGGGAGAGCCCCCAGCAUCCCACUGUGCCGGCUCACCAGGCCAUGGGCAGGGUAACCUGCCCCAGCUGCAGCCCAGCCUGGAGUUUAUGUGUUGGCUAAUAAAGUGCUUGGAAAUCCUUCUGGAUGAAAGGCACUGUAUAAAUGUGACAACCUGUCAUACACCAGGAAGCACCUCUCUAGACAUUAGGGGGUUUGCUGAUAUUCCUCAUCUUGGACACAGUUUGCAGGUGCCAUCACUACAUCGUAAGAUGCUCUGGGAAGAGUAACAAGAGUAACGCUGUUUUGCGUUUCAUUUAAGCUAAUACUGAGGCUCCUGCUACACAGGAUUUCACAGCUUUUCAACGCACACAGCUUGACACCUGGAGCUGCCAAACCAGCUUCAGACCUCAAAUCAACAUGCACAAACCACCACUUGAUGGGCCAGCCCCCAGUGUGCCCCCUUGCUACUGGCACCAACACUGAAACGCCGAGGAGGACACCAAACCCACCAACCGGGCAGGGCAGGCUCAAGGCUUUGAACGCAAAGGGCUGAGAUGGGCUGAUCUGGAGGCACGCCGCUCCUGGAGAGGGGUGCCGGGGUGGACCUGCCCGGGGAGGCCCUGGCACCGAGCGGUGGUGCUGCCUGAGGGUGCCAUGGGGGCCAGAAACCUCUCAGCGGUAUCGCUCCAUCAGGGCAGAAGGAGACUGCAGGUCACGCAUGGCACGUCAUAAUGUAGCAGUUACUUCUUUUCCUUGCAAAACCACCCAAAGACUGAACAAUCGCUCACUUUAUAGUAGAUGCAGUGCUGAAGAAGAUGAAAUUGGAGUACUAAUUUACUGAUACAGCAGGACAUGGGCUUAUUUUAAAACAAAUAAUUUCCAUUAUAUGAGAUGUAUUUUAUACAUAUAUAUGAAAUCCACACACUUUCCUAUGCACGCUUUAAUUCCUUCCUGAUUGAUCUCAAAUCUGUCAUAGCAACAAGGUUCAAGCAUGAAUUAAAAUGUCAGGUUUUGGUAUUAAACUGUACAACAUUAUUAGUCUUUGCACGCUGCCAUAGGCCAUUCUAGUCAGGUCAACAUGAAAUAACAAACCACUUCACAAUAUACUUCACCAAUUUACAAAGAAUUUUAAAUCCAAAAAAAUAUCAAAGCAAAAAUAAGUAUGGUGAAUAUCAACAAUUUUACCAGUCAGGUCUUUUCCUUUAUUUAAAUUUUCAGAAUUCUGUUUAUUAUACUUGUGUUUCACAGGUGAUGAAGAAAUGAACACAGACUUUCUAUACUUUUCAUCUGUUAAAAUAAAUAUCAGUCCAAUUAGUAUUUAAUUAAACAGUAGACUAUUUUGUUGUAUCCAGCUGUUGUGUGUGGGUCUACACC
ensembl:lncRNA